rnacentral:rRNA from 1 species
AUUGAACGCUGGCGGCAGGCCUAACACAUGCAAGUCGAGCGAGCGGCGGACGGGUGAGUAAUUUACGGGGAUCUGCCCGAUAUAGGGGGAUAACUUCUGGAAACGGUAGCCAAUACCGCAUACUAUCGGAUGAACCCAUAUGGGAUUAGCUGGUUGUUGAGGUAAUGGCUCACCAAGGCCACGCACCCCAGCUGGUCUGAGAGGAUGAUCAUCCACACUGGGAUUGAGACACGGCCCAGACUCCUACGGGAGGCAGCAGUGGGGAGUAUUGCACAAUGGGCGCAAGCCUAAUGCAGCCAUGCCGCGUGUAUGAAGAAGGCCUUCGGGUUGUAAAGCACUUUCAGCGAGGAGGCGUUACUCGAAGAAGAAGCACCGGCUAACUCCGUGCCAGCAGCCGCGGUAAUUC